AAGUAAGUGCUUAAGGGCGCAUGGUGGAUGCCUUGGCAUCGAGAGCCGAUGAAGGACGUGGGAGGCUGCGAUAUGCCUCGGGGAGCUGUCAACCGAGCGUGGAUCCGAGGAUUUCCGAAUGGGGAAACCCAGCACGAGUGAUGUCGUGUUACCCGUAUCUGAAUAUAUAGGGUGCGGGAGGGAACGCGGGGAA
rnacentral:rRNA from 1 species